rnacentral:rRNA from 1 species
AGAGUUUGACCUGGCUCAGAAUGAACGCUAGUAGUAUGCUUAACACAUGCAAGUCGAACGGGAAUUUUAUUUUCGUGGCGUACGGGUGAGUAGACGCAGAAUUUUCCCUUUCAGUUCAGGACAAAAUUGCCUUUGGUAAUCAAAUACUGAAUAUUUUUAAAGGUUCACUCCGCUGAAAGAUAAAUCUGCUUAAGAUUAGGUUGUUGGUAAUUUAAAAGCUUACCAAGCCGAUGAUCUUUAGUUGGUCUGAGAGGACGAUCAACCACACUGGAACUGAAACUAGGUCCAGGCUAAUUCGUUGGCCAGCAGUGAGGAAUAUUGGAAUCAAUGAACGAAAGUUUGAUCCAGCAAUACUAAUUGGGUGACGACGGCUUAUUAAGUUGUAAGAUCCUUUAAUUAAAGAAGAUAAUGACAUUAUUAAUGAAU